GGGUACAAUAUGUGCAGGAAGUCCAAAAGGAACUAAAAGCCCGGAGCCUGGUUACUCCUUAGAACAGAGAGUUUGGCUGUCAACAGAACACCUCUGCACCCACCAGCCCUCGCAGAAACUGGAUCACAGAAUAUUAAGUCUCCUAGCAGCAGGUCUCCCAGUGGCAUUAGAUUCUCAAACCUGAAUUCAGAUCUGCAAGUAUCCAGUGGUGUGGAAAAGGAAAGAAUACUUUUAAGUAUUGAUGAUGUAAAGGGCAAUUAAGUCAACUGGACAGACCACUGUCAGCAAAUUGAAAGAAUGUGUGCCAGAAGAACUGUGAACAUUCUGCUUCUUCUAUCAUUAAAGCUAUGCAGCUUGAAAAUGAUGUACUUCAAAAAGCGAUCCUUUGCAGGAGGCAGAAGAGAGUCAUCAAAGAGUAUGGUAGAGUACUGAACUAGAAAAAAGAUUAAUCCAAGGGCCUCAUUAACUCGAUGAUUUCUAUUUCCUAAACACAAAUAAAGAUCUGCUUUAGUUUAAAAUCUUAAA